UGGGUGUCUAGUAUUUCGAUCAGGAGGUUGGAGGUAGACAUAUUUUCUAUAAAGAGUCGAAAGUUUCUAGUUAGAUUUUGUAAUCAGACUUAACCAAUUUAUUUAAAAGUUUCAUUUUUAAACAAAUUAAGUUCUCACUAUUUUCUCAGAUCCCUACACUCCCUUGGUAGAGAUAUGAAAAUCUCCAUGUUCAGUGAUUUCUAGUGGGUGGUGCGGUCUCACCGACUGGCUCAUCACCUCACCUAACAGUUAUUGGUGAUGGGUCAACCAAUGAGUGGACAACUCUUGUCCAAUGAUUUUUUAAUCAUGGUGCACCCAAAACUUGGUCUCUAAUUCAUGAAGCUCACCGUAUCCGGAAUAUUACUCCAAUCCUUAGUUAAGCCAAACCCACCAUUUGCAC
rnacentral:lncRNA from 1 species